rnacentral:rRNA from 1 species
GGGCACUCUAAUGAGACUGCCGGUGACAAACCGGAGGAAGGUGGGGAUGACGUCAAGUCCUCAUGGCCCUUAUAGGUGGGGCUACACACGUCAUACAAUGGCUGGUACAAAGGGUUGCCAACCCGCGAGGGGGAGCUAAUCCCAUAAAACCAGUCGUAGUCCGGAUCGCAGUCUGCAACUCGACUGCGUGAAGUCGGAAUCGCUAGUAAUCGUGGAUCAGAAUGUCACGGUGAAUACGUUCCCGGGUCUUGUACACACCGCCCGU